rnacentral:tRNA from 1 species
GUCCCGGUAGCUCAGCUGGUAGAGCAUGCGGCUGUUAACCGCAGGGUCGAAGGUUCGAGUCCUUCCCGGGACG